ACCCUCUGAACUUCGACAGGAUUUGCUUCUGGGUCACAGAACCUUGAAGCGGGUAAUGGAUGGCCUUGUGAUACUGAAGUAGCCAAGGGUUCAGCGCCUGCCUCCUUUGGAGCAGCAAAGGAGGAAGAAGGAAAAUACCUGGGAAGCUCAGAGAAUUCACUUAAGAUCAAAAAUGCUGGAGGUUGGAAACGUCCCAAUAAACUACUUCUGUCGAAGCUACAUCAUUGGAUUAUUUUUACCUCCACACUAAAGAUGCUUGGAGAUGAAGCCAAAUACAAGCAUGAGAGGAAGUUCUAGAGAUGAGAAGCAAAACUGGCAGAGGAGAAAGAUUCCUUCACCUGCUCCAUAAGAUGAAUCAAUAUGCUGCAGCACUGACUGGAGGAAUUGCUUUAUGUUUAUAAAUUGCAUAUGACUGGAACUCUGCAACACAGCCAUCUGCCUGUUUGACACCUGGUGUUAAUCCUUUGGAUAGUUC
rnacentral:lncRNA from 1 species